rfam:Camelus ferus unplaced genomic scaffold scaffold331, whole genome shotgun sequence.
GAGGGUAUAGCUCAGUGGUAGAGCACAUGGUUAGCAUGCACCAGGUCAUGGGUUCAAUCCCCAGUACUUCCA